GAUCAUGGCUCAGAACGACGCUGGCGGCGCGUUUAAGCAUGCAAGUCGAGCGGCAAGGGCCUUCGGGCCCCUAGAGCGGCGGACGGGUGAGUAACACGUGGACAAUCUGCCCCCGGCCCGGGAUAGCCCAGGGAAACCUGGAUUAAUACCGGAUGAGACGGGACCCGCGAUGGCGGGAUCCGGGAAAGGCGCUGCGGCGCCGCCGGGGGAUGAGUCUGCGUCCCAUUAGCUAGACGGCGGGGUAACGGCCCACCGUGGCGACGAUGGGUAGCCGGCCUGAGAGGGUGGACGGCCACAUUGGAACUGAGACACGGUCCAGACUCCUACGGGAGGCAGCAGCUAAGAAUCUUCCGCAAUGGGCGAAAGCCUGACGGAGCCGACGCCGCGUGAACGAAGAAGGCCGUGAGGUUGUAAAGUUCUUUUCGGGAGGGGGAACAACCGUGGCAGGGAAUGGCCGCGGGAUGACGUGAAUCCCGGAAUAAGCCCCGGCUAACUACGUGCCAGCCGCAGC
rnacentral:rRNA from 1 species